rnacentral:rRNA from 1 species
UACAGAGGUCUCAAGCGUUGUUCGGAAUCACUGGGCGUAAAGAGCGUGUAGGCGGCCAGGUAGGUCUGCUGUGAAAACUCGAGGCUUAACCUCGAGAUGUCGGCGGAAACCAUCUGGCUAGAGUCCGGAAGAGGAGAGUGGAAUUCCUGGUGUAGCGGUGAAAUGCGCAGAUAUCAGGAAGAACACCCGUGGCGAAGGCGGCUCUCUGGGACGGUACUGACGCUGAGACGCGAAAGCGUGGGGAGCGAACAGG